rnacentral:rRNA from 1 species
GAUGAACGCUAGCGGCAGGCCUAAUACAUGCAAGUCGAGGGGUAAAUAUGUAGCAAUAUAUAUGAGACCGGCGCACGGGUGCGUAACACGUAUGCAACCUACCUUUUACUGGGGAAUAGCUCAGAGAAAUCUGAAUUAAUACCCCAUAAUAUUAUGAAAUGGCAUCAUUUUAUAAUUAAAGCUCCGGCGGUAAAAGAUGGGCAUGCGGAACAUUAGCUAGUUGGUGAGGUAAUGGCUCACCAAGGCUACGAUGUUUAGGGGGUCUGAGAGGAUGAUCCCCCACGCUGGUACUGAGACACGGACCAGACUCCUACGGGAGGCAGCAGUAGGGAAUAUUGGGCAAUGGACGAAAGUCUGACCCAGCCAUGCCGCGUGCAGGAUGACUGUCCUAUGGAUUGUAAACUGCUUUUAUAUGGGAAGAAACCCUUGGAUGCGUCCGAGGCUGACGGUACCAUAUGAAUAAGGAUCGGCUAACUUCGUGCCAG